CAAACGAAAGUGAAAAAAGUAGCAGCCCUACAAUGGUGAUGAACCAGAUGCUAUAAUAGAAAGAUCAGAAGCUAACGUAUAAGGUGAGCUUAUACAUUAAUGUCAACAUUUCAAACAUUGAUCUGAAACCAAAUACGUCCAAUCAAUUCAUCACGUCUCUGGUGAAAGUACCAUAGGAAUUACCAAAGGUGAUGAAUAAAAGGUUAUAAGACGAAAAGAUCAACCUUUUAUAGAUAGGCUAGCAGAUUUCCAGUGCUCCAACAAUAUAUUUCCUAGUACAAUAAAAGAAACAGAAGAAGAAUAAAACA
rnacentral:lncRNA from 1 species